rnacentral:rRNA from 1 species
AACGAACGCUGGCGGCAGGCCUAACACAUGCAAGUCGAGCGCCCGCAAGGGAGCGGCGGACGGGUGAGUAACGCGUGGGAACGUGCCCUUUGCUACGGAAUAGCCUCGGGAAACUGAGAGUAAUACCGUAUGUGCCCUUCGGGGGAAAGAUUUAUCGGCAAAGGAUCGGCCCGCGUUGGAUUAGGUAGUUGGUGGGGUAAUGGCCUACCAAGCCGACGAUCCAUAGCUGGUUUGAGAGGAUGAUCAGCCACACUGGGACUGAGACACGGCCCAGACUCCUACGGGAGGCAGCAGUGGGGAAUCUUAGACAAUGGGCGCAAGCCUGAUCUAGCCAUGCCGCGUGAGCGAUGAAGGCCUUAGGGUUGUAAAGCUCUUUCGUGGGGGAAGAUAAUGACGGUACCCCAAGAAGAAGCCCCGGCUAACUCCGUGCCAGCCGCCGCGGUAACAC